CUUAAAAAUAAAGUACAUACAAGUUUCUAUUCUAGUUCCCUGGUUUCCAUAUCGGAUUUUUUCCAUACACCAUUGUCCUGUUUCUUUUACGUUUUCUUUCCCGCAUUAUACAAGAAAAGAUACAACGAAAAUCACCAGUGCAGAGCAACCAAGCUCAAGCUAGCAGCCACUUGCAGAACAACGCAACAAGAUACACCACAUCACUAAUCUUGAAUCAAGGCAAUUAAAAAAGAAGCACAGAAAAAAA
rnacentral:lncRNA from 1 species